GACGAACGCUGGCGGCGUGCUUAACACAUGCAAGUCGAACGGAAAGGCCCAGCUUGCUGGGUACUCGAGCGGCGAACGGGUGAGUAACACGUGAGUAAUCUGCCCUGCACUUUGGGAUAACUGCCGGAAACGGUGGCUAAUACCGGAUAUGACUUCUCGCCGCAUGGUGGGGGGUGGAAAGUUUUUUCGGUGUGGGCUGUGCUCGCGGCCUAUCAGCUUAAUGGUGGGGUAAUGGCCUACCAUGGCUUCGACGGGUAGCCGGCCUGAGAGGGUGACCGGCCACACUGGGACUGAGACACGGCCCAGACUCCUACGGGAGGCAGCAGUGGGGAAUAUUGGACAAUGGGCGGAAGCCUGAUCCAGCAACGCCGCGUGAGGGAUGACGGCCUUCGGGUUGUAAACCUCUUUCACCUGUGACGAAGUCUCUGCUUGUUGGUGGGGGUGACGGUAGCGGGAGAAGAAGCACCGGCCAACUACGUGCCAGCCGCCGCUGUAACAC
rnacentral:rRNA from 1 species